UACUCAUCGAUUAUCCUUUGCUUGCGACCGGAAGAAAUUAUCCAAAUGCAAACGAAUCAGGUCAUGGAGAUCAUGAAUCUCCACCGGGAAUCUAAGAAACAAUGCUUGAGAAAAACACACAGUGGUCCAUGGUAAAGUGCGAGAAUGGGAUGGUGAAUUUGGUUAAACAUCAUGUAUGGUAGGCGGCUGUACAUAUUAAAUGCGAAUGUUUGUUCUGUAUAUUGAGAAGAUUGAGCGUUUUGGUAUGCUAGAUCAA